UAAGGAGGUGUUUGUUUGGAA
rnacentral:miRNA from 1 species